ACGGGUGUGACAGUCCUCCACCUCACUCCGUCGCUCAACUGCUCAAGGAUGUUUCGCCCGCGCGGAGCCCAUUCCCAGGCAGACGCUCGCCACCCGUUCGACGAAGUGCUUCAACCAUGUCAUCAAGCGUCCGAGCAUGGUGGCCACUUCGAAGAUCUUCGAUGACUACCCGGCGUCGCCGCCCACGCAGCACCAACAUGACUGCAUGGCCCAGAUGCGCUUCUUCAUCCGCGCCGUCUUCGACCGCCCCAUCAUCUUCGGUCCCGAGACAGGCAAGGACAUGCGUGAGGCCCUCAGGCUCGGUGGACAGGUCGAGUCGGAGGGCGAAGCGGUGGGUACGACUUUGUUUACGCCGCAACGGUCACUGGAAGGAGGCAUCGCGGUGGAGCUUCGGCUGGCGAACCUGGUGCAGCGGGUGUUUAACCUCUUCUGCAACGUCCGAUCGGGGUCCGAUCUCUCGCAUUUCCAGCUGCAAGUGAUGUUUUAACCUGCCAAGUCGCAGCUCCAGACGUAUGGGGAAGGUAGGAACUGCGCUGUCGAGGAUCUCCUGAGUAGGUGCGGUGCGGGAAAGGACAGCCUCGAACUGUAUUUUGGUGGUGGCCUCAACUCUAAGGAGAAGUACCUCUUCUUGUGCCAGUGGAACGAGGAGGAAUCAGCUAUCCUUGUGCCAGGAGACAUCAUCGGUGUCAAGCUUGGGAACAUCAUCCCGGCCGAUGCGCGUCUCCUUGAGGUUGAUCCGCUCAAGAUUGAUCAGUCUGCACUCACUGGGGAAUCUGUGCCUAUGCCCAAAGGUCCUGGUGAUGGAGUGUACUCUGGCUCCACAUGCAAAUAGAGUGAAAUCGAGGCUGUUGUCAUCGCCACCGGUGUGCACACCUUCUUGGGAAGGGCAGCACAUCUUGCCGAUUCAACAAACCAAGUUGGCCAUUUCCUGAAGAUAUUUCGUCAAAUUUCACCAUAUUCUACAGCAAUUUCCGGACUUGCUGUUGCUUUGAGAGAUGGAUCUAUCAACCUGUCAAAAGCCUGGACUCGCCAGCUAACUAAAAAUGCUGUUGGGAAUAUACAGCUAGUCCUUGGUGCUGAAUUGAGUAUUUCUGUUGGAUGGCAAAAGAAAGAUGAAAAGAGUUCUGCAGCAGGAGAAGUUUGGAACUAAUUCUUUUGGUGCUUUUGCUCAUCACAUCCAUCGUUUCUCCUCCAAGUCUCAUGGCUGCAUUGCUAUAAGGAAGUACUUCACUACAUUGUGCUAUCCUGCUGAACAGUUCCAGAAGCAAGGACUUUGUGUUGAGGUAUAUUCAGUGAAAUAGGCGUGUUCCUACCUGAUGAGGAUAUCAACUUGAAGAGCCCUACAAGGAGAAGAUGUCGCCUCUAGGUGAUCCAAUCUCUUUUGCUCUCGUGCUGAUUUUGGUUGGUACAACAUGCAUGAUACUGCAGCGGAAGCUUGGUGGAAAUGAUUAUCUAGUGAGCUCUGUCAAUGAGGGACUGGGGACCUUUAGUGUGUCUGAGCUUGGAGAACAGAUGCCUGAGCCUUCAAUGGUCGAUGUAUGGGGCAUAACUGGCGAUUACAUGCGCACUGUGGUUGCUUUGGAAGGAAAGCCCGAAGGGUCUAAUCUUCAAAUAGCUGAAUGGCUUGCUGAACUGAUUGGAUGGUUAGCGAGUGCAUUGCUCGACUACACUCAAGGGGCGCAAGACAAGUGGCCAAGUGGGAGGUGUCCUGCAGAGGUGAUGGGAGCUUUCAGGAGUCCUGUGAGAAUUGGGAUCUAGGAGGCUCAUUUCACGGUGUCGACAGCUCAGUCCAUGGCGUCGCCAGCUCAGUUCAUGGCAUCGGCUUGAGGGCAAGCCGAGUCUCAAGAAGGAAGAAAUGUCACGGACUUGGGUCGGCUUGGGCUGCAACGAGUCGUGUGGCCCAGCUGACGGCUAUGGGCAUAAAGGCACGAGGCAUCGCCAACAAGAGGGCAUCGAAGAUAUCAGAACGGACUUCCCUUCUUCCUCCUCCGGUCUUCUUCCCUGUUCUCCUGCUAUCUUCUUCUACUCCCGGUCCCUACUGCUUCUCUGUUCCCAGUCUUCUUCUCCCUCUUCCCAAGUCUGUUUGCUCUUCCUAAUCUAAACUCCUCUUCUCCGUAUUUGUACCUGGUUUAAGUAUUGACUCAUAUGUGACUUUGAGCUCUUGAAUGGGA